GGGCGUAUAGCUCAGUUGGUAGAGCAGCUGACUCUUAAUCAGCGGGUCCUAGGUUCGAGUCCUAGUACGCCCACCA
rnacentral:tRNA from 1 species